AUUCCUGUACUUCUGGUUACUGCGAUGGAGGGACGGAGAAGGCUAGGCCAGCUUGGCGUUGGUUGUCCAAGUUUAAGGUGGUAGGCUGAAAUCUUAGGUAAAUCCGGGGUUUCAAGGCCGAGAGCUGAUGACGAGUCGUCUUUUAGAUGACGAAGUGGUUGAUGCCAUGCUUCCAAGAAAAGCUUCUAAGCUUCAGGUAACCAGGAACCGUACCCCAAACCGACACAGGUGGUCGGGUAGAGAAUACCAAGGCGCUUGAGAGAACUCGGGUGAAGGAACUAGGCAAAAUGGCACCGUAACUUCGGGAGAAGGUGCGCCGGCUAGGGUGAAGGAUUUACUCCGUAAGCUCUGGCUGGUCGAAGAUACCAGGCCGCUGCGACUGUUUAUUAAAAACACAGCAC
rnacentral:rRNA from 1 species